CCAUGAAGAAGUGGAUUUCUUUCAAGAAAUUGGAUGUGACCAGAUUGACGAUUCUUGUCUUUGAUGAGGCUGAUCAACUGCUUGCUGAGGAUGGUUUUAAGGAUGAUUCCUUGAGGAUAAUGAAAGAAAUAGAAAAAUUCAAUUCUAGCUGCCAGGUU